rnacentral:rRNA from 1 species
GACGAACGCUGGCGGCGUGCCUAAUACAUGCAAGUUGGGCGCUGAAGGUUGGUACUUGUACCGACUGGAUGAGCAGCGAACGGGUGAGUAACGCGUGGGGAAUCUGCCUUUGAGCGGGGGACAACAUUUGGAAACGAAUGCUAAUACCGCAUAAAAACUUUAAACACAAGUUUUAAGUUUGAAAGAUGCAAUUGCAUCACUCAAAGAUGAUCCCGCGUUGUAUUAGCUAGUUGGUGAGGUAAAGGCUCACCAAGGCGAUGAUACAUAGCCGACCUGAGAGGGUGAUCGGCCACAUUGGGACUGAGACACGGCCCAAACUCCUACGGGAGGCAGCAGUAGGGAAUCUUCGGCAAUGGACGAAAGUCUGACCGAGCAACGCCGCGUGAGUGAAGAAGGUUUUCGGAUCGUAAAACUCUGUUGGUAGAGAAGAACGUUGGUGAGAGUGGAAAGCUCAUCAAGUGGCGGUAACUACCCAGAAAGGGACGGCUAACUACGUG